rnacentral:rRNA from 1 species
GUUACGUUAAGUAGCAAGGUUAAGCCCUUAAGGUGCGGAGCCGUAGCGAAAGCGAGGUGUAACUGAGCGGUCAGUAACUGAACGUAGACCCGAAGACGAGCGACCGACCCAGGAGCAGGUGGAGUCGAAAGUAACUUUUCGGGGGUGUCCGAACGCUCGAGCGUUGAAAGGCUCGGGGAUGACUUGUGGGUAGCGGUAAAUUGCCAAUCGGUCCCGGAGAUAGCUGGUUCUCCCCGAACUAGCUUUAGGGCUAGCCUCAAGGUGAGAGCUACGGAGGUAGAGCACUGAAUGUCCUAGGGGGUAUUGCACCUACCGAAGUCUAUCAAACUCCGAAUGCCGUCAUCUUAUCCUUGGUAGUCAGACUGUGGGUGAUCAGAUUCAUAGUCGAAAGGGCAACAGACCGGAUCUUCACCAAAGGUCCCUAAGUGUCAAUUACGUGG